rnacentral:lncRNA from 1 species
GAAAUGCGUAAUGUGAAUGAUAAAAUGGUUAUGUAAUAACAGUGGAAUUGUUCCAGGUUUGUUUGUGAUAACAUAUAAGUGUAUGAAUGAUUCUCAUGUUAUGAAUUCUUGAGAGUAUGGUUAUCAUGGUUGUGAAAUGAAUUAAAUGCAGGGUUGUUUCUAGUGAUAAGAUACGACUUAUGAACUUAGGACAUUCGGAGCAAGACCACCAUGAAUGAUUUGAAGAAAUUGGUUCCUUACAAGUGAAGCAAUUUUGGCCAUGAAUUUAGAAAUGAAACGAAAGCAUGAGGGGAAAAUUGGGAACUAGGAAUUAUGCUUAUGGGUUUAGGUGGUUUGAGUCACGUUUGGAAAUGUAUGGAAAGUGAUUAGAUGCUACGGAAUUGGUGUAAUUUCAUUUCUUUUUGAAUGGUUUGAAUUGUAAUGAAUGUAUAAUUUUGGUUUAAUGUUUGUAAAUCUUGCAAUUUUCCCGUAUGAUGGACCUACCUCUUUAUGCUUUAUAAUGGAAUUUGCUAUUCUUGAAUGAAAUAAGAUUGGUAUGGAACUUAUAUGGACAUGAUUUGAAUUAAUUGAUAUUUGGAAUGAAUUUGAGCAUGGCUAUGAACUAAAAUGUGAAAAUGGUAUUGGUUUAAAGUGGUUUAUGAAAAUGAUUAGGAAUGGUUUUAAAAUAUGAAGAUGAUUAAAAUUGGAUUUAAAAAAAUAUGAAGAUGAUUAAAAUUGGAUUUAAAAAAAUAUGAAGAUGGUAAAAAUGGGUUUUGGUUAGAUGGUUAACUUUGGUCAACUGGUUGUCCAAAAAGUCAACUUAGGGAAAAAUGUUUGUUUACUUAUGGAAUGAAUGUGGAUACGACCGAAAAGCCUAAUGUUCUUAAACCAAAUAAAACAUGCCAAGUUCUAAGACUUGAAGUCCACUCAAGCCAGACCAACCAAGUGAUAAUCAAUCCAGCAACAAAUUAUGACAUCUUGAAUGCAUCUUCGUCGAUGAAUCAGAACCCUGGAUCUUAAACGAACAACCGAAUCGUUCAAUGAACCAAAUGACUUAGAUGCAACCUCCCUGAAUUAGGGUUUCCACUAUGCCCUAGUGAACACCCUUGAACCCAUGAUUUUAUGCUUUUUUCAAAUGCAAGUGGAAUGUGUUAUGAUACAAUGAAUAUGUAGAUGAGAUGAAUGCUUAUCAGGAUAUGCGAAUGCACAUGGUUAGUGACCUAGAUGAACUUAGCGAAAGGUAGGGUGAGUUUUGGGGUAUGACAGUUGCCCCUAUUUAAUCUUCUCAAACCUGAAUGUAUGGAUAGCGACAACUUCUAAAAAUUCAAGCUAGGAGGGGAUUAAAUACUAAAAUAUUGGAAAAUUUUCCCACCAAGAACAAAUAAAAUGUGAAGAUAGGUCACCAAGAAAUUCUUCACUGAAAUAUAGGGUGAACAAACCAGCUUUUGUACAGGGAAGCUACUGGGGAUUUAAGUGUAUUAUCUGGUCAAUGGUAGUUACGGAAGGUUAGGGAUGCAUGAAAUAUACAUGAUGUUGAUGCAAUAUGAUUGAUUCUUCUUUUUCAAUAGGCUCUCUGUUUUUUAUAAGCAAGCUUUUCAUUUUUUUUAUUUUUUUUCAAAACUCUUAGGCAAGCACUAAGAACACUUUUUCAUCGGGGAGGAAUGAGUGAAAUAUAUUUUUUUAAACACAGUUUACCAAGUGGAAUCUGGACUUUAUUUGGUUUUGUUUAUUCAUGACUGGGAAGAAAGAAAGGGAGAGGGCCGAACACAAUUGGUCUUUGCUGAGGGAUGAGGUCUGAAAUUAACCUUAUCGGAAGGAGAAGAGAAGGGUAAAGGGAGGGGCUCCGAAGUUAACCUUAUCGGAAAGGGAAGAAAGGGAUCUCGAAGUUAAACUUAUCGGGGAGAGAAGUGUCCUGAAGUUAACCUUAUCAGGAAGAGAAGAAAUGGAUCCCGAAGUUAACCUUAUCGGGGGGAGAAGAGAAGUAUCCUGAAGUUAACCUUAUCAUAAAGAGAAGGAAUGAGUCCUGAAGUUAACCUUAUCAGGAAGAGUAGGAAGAGAAGAAAUGGAUCCCGAAGUUAACCUUAUCGGGGGGAGAAGAGAAGUAUCCUGAAGUUAACCUUAUCAUAAAGAGAAGGAAUGAGUCCUGAAGUUAACCUUAUCAGGAAGAGAAGAGAUGGAUCCUGAAGUUGACCUUAUCAGGGAGAGAAGAAACGAAAACGGGCUUCCGAAGUUAACCUUAUCGGAAAGAGAAGGAAUGAAAACGAGUUUCCGAAGUUAACCUUAUCGGAAAGGGAAGAAAAUGAUCCUGAAGUUAACCUUAUCAGGAAGAGAAGAAAUGAAGACAUCGUUGGGGAAACAUUCCAAAGUUAACCUUAUUGGAACUGGAGAAGGAAAAUAGGGGGGUCCCGAAGUUAACCUUAUCGGGAAGAGAAGACACGAAAAAGGGGGGUUCCGAAGUUAACCUUAUCGGAAGAGAAGAAAUGAACCUUGAAGUUAACCUUAUCAGGGAGGCAAAAAAAUGAACCUUGAAGUUGACUUAUCAGAAAGAGAAGAAAUGGAACGAGUUUCCGAAUUUAACCUUAUCGGAAAGGGAAGAAAGGUGUCCUGAAGUUAACCUUAUCAAGAAGAGAAGAAAUGGAUCCUGAAGUUGACCUUAUCAGGAAGAGAAGAGUAAUAUCCUGAAGUUAACCUUAUCAGGAAGACAAGAGAUGGACCCUGAAGUUGAUCUUAUCAGGAAGAGAAGAAAUGAAUGCGAGUUUCCGAAUUUAACCUUAUCAGAAAGGGAGGAAAAGGGUCAUGAAGUUAACCUUAUCAGGAAGCGAAGGGAUGAAAACGGGUUUCCAAAGUUAACCUUAUCGGAAAGAGAAGGAACGGAUCCUGAAGUUAACCUUAUCAAGAAGAGAAGAGAUGGAAGACGGUUCCGAAGUUAAACUUAUCGGAAAGAGAAGAAACAGGGCCCGAAGUUAACCUUAUCGGGGAGAGAAGGGUAAUAUCCUGAAGUUAACCUUAUCAGGAAGAGAAGAAAUGGAAACAUGUUUUCGAAGUUAACCUUAUCGAAAAGAGAGGGAAAAAAGGGGGGGCCUGAAGUUAACCUUAUCAGGAAGAGAAGAAAUGGAUCCCGAAGUUAAUAUUAUCAGGAAGAGGAGAGAAGUUUCCUGAAGUUGACCUUAUCAGGAAGAAAAGAAAUGAAUGGUUUCCGAAGUUAACCUUAUCGAAAAGAAAAGAAAUGGAUCCUGAAGUUCACCUUAUCAGGGAGAGAAGGAAGUUUCCGAAGUUAACCUUAUCGGAAAGAGAAGAAAGGUGUCCUGAAGUUAACCUUAUCGGGAAGAGAAGGGGUGAAAACCUGUUUCCGAAGUUAACCUUAUCGGAAAAAGGAUCCUGAAGUUGACCUUGCCAGGAAGAAAAGAAAUGAAUAGUUUCCUAAGUUAACCUUAUCGAAAAGGAAAGAAAUAUCCUGAAGUUAACCUUGUCAGGAGAAAAGGGGAGUGUCCUGAAAUUAACCUUAUCAGGAAGAGAAGAAGGUUUCCAAAGGUAACCUUAUCGGCAAGAAAAGAAACGGGUCCCAAAGUUAACCUUAUCGGGGAGAGAAGGGUAAUAUCCUAAAGUUAACCUUAUUAGGGAGAGAAGAAAAUGAUCCUGAAGUUAACCUUAUCAGGAAGAGAAGGGGUGAUGACAUAUUUCCGAAGUUAGCCUUAUCGAAAAAAGGAGAAAAUGGUCCUGAAGUUAACCAUACCAGGAAGAGAAGGAAUGGCUCCGAAGUUAACCUUGUCGGAAAGAAAAGAAGUGGAGACACCAUUAAGGGUGUUGUCCCAAAGUUAAUCUUAUUGGAACAAGAAGAGAAUGGCUAUAGCCAUGUGAAUCACUCUAGAGCGAAUGGAAGGCUUGGUCAAACACAUUCAAUUCGCAAAGAUACACAGGAAGGUCCGAUAUUAUGUAUGUUCGACACGGAUGGGGUAUGGUUUGGCCAAUGGAACUGGACUUACAAAUGGUUCUCCCGAUUGGGAUCAAACGCUACGGGGGGUAUUGAAAGAGGGUUUAUCCACCAGGUUGGAUUCCAGGAAAGUGCCGAAGGAAACGGGCUAUUGAGUAGUGCUAAAAGAGUUUUGGACUUGCUUCUUUCUCGUUUAGAGAGCUUCAUGGUUAUAUCAUAUGAUAUGCAUAAAAUGAUAUGAAUUAUGCAUGAUGGGUUUAUGCAAUGAUGGAUUACGGAUGCCCCAAGUUUGGGCAUGGUGUGCCCUGAACAGAGGUACAUCCACUUGGCUUACCAGUCUUCUGAUUUAUGGGGCGUGAGCUGCAUCUUGCAUGACUCUCCGACAUCUGACCUCUCGAUACUACUGGUGAAUGACAUUUGAGUUGGAUCUUCUGAUGCCUCAGGCUGGAUCUGAAAAGCUUUUGCGAGCAGGGAGAGAAUCUUUGUCUCUUUGGAUCGUCUUGCCCCAGUCUGUUGGGUACCUGCACAGGUUUCCCCAGUCUAUUGGGUAUCUGCACGAAUUGCCUUAGUCUAUUGGGUAUUUGCAUGGAUUUCCCCCGUCACAAGCUAUGAAGCAACUUUGUUAUAGAUUAUCUUAAUCUGACAUGCCCUAGUGUCUCAGGAUUGCACUCCUCUGAUUAACCAUCUCGGAGAGAUUGACUUCUUAUGCUCUUGGGGUGGCCUGCCUCAAUACGAGCCUUGAAGAAACUUCGCCUCUGGCUGGCUGACCUUUGAGAGAGUGCCCCUGACUAAUUGGUCUUCGGAGAGAUUUAUCGAAUCUCGACAUGACUACUUCUGAUCGGCUGGAUCUUGAAGAGAUUUCUCGACGUGACUACUUCUGAUCGACUGGAUCUUGAAGAGAUUUUUCAACGUGACUACUUCUGAUCGACUGGAUCUUGAAGAGAUUUCUUGACGUGACUACUUCUGAUCGGCUGGAUCUUGAAGAGAUUUUUCAACGUGACUACUUCUGAUCGACUGGAUCUUGAAGAGAUUUCUUGACGUGACUACUUCUGAUCGGCUGGAUCUUGAAGAGAUUUCUCGAUGUGACUACUUCUGAUCGGCUGGAUCUUGAGGUAGUCUUGUCUUUAGCUCAACAGAGUCUUUAAACAUUCUUCUCUAGUAUGAUCAGAAGAAGUGGUUUGCCCUUGCUCAACGGAGAUCUCAGGCACUCUACACUUUUGAUAUGAUCCAAAGAAGUGGCUUGCCCCUGCUCGACGGAGGCCUCGGGCGUUAUGCACUUUUGAUAUGAUCAAAAUAAGUGGAAUUCCUAUGCUCGACGAAGGUCUCAGGCGUUCUUCACUUUUGAAUCAAUUAGUCAAGAUGAUUUGCCUCUGCUCCAUAGAGGUCUUAGGCAUCCUGCACUUUUGAAUCAUCAGAUGAAGUGGCUUGCCCCUGCUCCAUGGAGGUCUCAGGCAAUAUGCACUUUUAAAUCAUCAAAUGAAGUGGCUUGCCCCUGCUCAACGGAGGUCUCAGGCGUUCUUCACUUUUAAAUCAUCAAGUUCCUCAAUUCAUGUUCAUUGUGGAAGACUUCUGGAUGUCAGAUGCUUACCCACGAGUAAGACAAGUUCAUUUUAGAAAUGAUAAUGCAAAUGUCAUGUUUAUGCUAAUUUUGAAAUCCCAUUAUGUCCACAUGGAAUUAAGACAUAUAAUGAAUGAAUCACUAAUGAGAAUGUCAUAUCGAUACCAACACAAAUGAUAAGCAAAUCAUUAAAGAGUCAAUUUUAACACAAUUAUACUGACUAUAGUAUGCUUUCGAACUAAACCCUGCUUCAAUUAGGUCUUUUGAGGGUUGUAACGUGGCCUGGUUCACGGUUUUCAGGAAAAAGGAUUUAUGGCUCGAAACCUAUUCUAACCCACCUACUCUUCGUGAUGUUCUUCAGUCCUAUGUUCAUCUAGUUCGAUACAAGCGUUCGUCCUUCAAAAGGGAAUUGGGGAUGAAAAUGAACCCACAAGGUUUUCAGAGUGGCAGUCAUGCAGCUUCUGUCUGCUUUGUUGCCACAUGAUUUUGUUCUUGCUGAGGAUUUUCUUAUGAUUCCUCUUUGUUUGAUUUAUUUCCCUAUUUUUGCUGGAUUGGUUCUGAUUUUCGAUCCACAGGGAUACCCUAACUUUUGCCUAAGUCACUUGUUCUCAAGCUUCGACUUAGCGGACUUUGUCUCUUUCAUUUUUUUGGAAUAAAUCGUAUGACAUUCGCUCGAUUGAUUGGAAGGGUUGUGACUGCCUCGUGCCUCUAUGGGCGAGGGACAACCAAUGUGGACUUAUUGUCUCUGAACUCUUUUGAGGUAUAAUAUAUGGUUGACCCUCAAAUAGGACACUCCUCUUUUGAAGUUUGAACGCCUGGUCAAACUAACUGAACUCUACCCUGCCCCGGGUUAAGAUUGAGGGUUUUAUAUUCAGAAAGAAACUCCUACUCCUUGGCUCGAAGGGGUUGACUAGGGAUUAUCUUCCUUAUAACUCCGGUGUUUAGGAUCCGAAACAAUGCGUUACAUCAUCAUCAAGGUUCUAUCCAAAAGUGUAUGCACAGUGAUAUCGUGUUUUCAAUUUCAUCAUUCUCCUUUUGAUUUCGCUUAACAAAAGUUUGAUAUCGAUGGAAAGUAUGAGUGGACACGAAUGGAUUUACUCGAAACAAUGCAUAUUUAUUUCAAUGUCAUUAUUAUUCACAAACAAACGAGUUUAUUACAAGUGAAUAUCUACAAAUGACAAACAAGAAAAAUUACACAUGAGAAAUGAUUGAACAACUAAUGAUUGAUGGAGUGAUCAACCUUAUUCCUCCCACAACUUGGGGUAUCGGUUCUUGCAGAAGCUGAUGAAGUAGUCAUAUAGAUGGAACCUCUUCAAAUCUACCAAUGCUUGGACUGUGGCAUCCCAGACGUGCUUGCCUGUGCGGGGUCGUUCAUUACAGUUGGCGUGAACGAUAUAGCUUUCGAGUCAAUCAAAUCUUACACUUUGUGCUUGAAGACAUUACAGUUCUCGAUCAAGUGCCCUGGCGUCCCAGAGUGAUACUCACAAUUAACAUUCAUGUCAUAUCCGGAAGGAAGGGGUACUAGAGGAGCCUUGACUUCUCUUAACUGAACCAAUGAAUCCCUGAGCAAAUAGGCUAGCAGAUGACCAUACGACAUGGGAAUUGGGUCGAAAUUCCUGGGAGGCCUCCUUGGUCCUUGUCUACCCUGCCGAUAGCAAUUCUGCUGUUGGUUUGGAUACGGGUUCGACACCUCAGACGUAUUUGUCUGUGAAGUCUUAGGGGUGCGUACUACAUUCAGGCCUUGCGAUGUGAACAUAAUAACCUUCGAAUCAAUCAAAUCUUGCACUAAGUGCUUUAGAGCUCUGCAAUCCUCGACCGUGUGUCCGGGUGCUCCACAAUGGAAUACACAUCUAGCAUAUACAUCAUAGCCACAAGGGAGAGGUGUUGGAGUAGGUCCUGGUUCUCGCAGUCGUACCAAUAAGUGCAUACGUAAUAGAGGGAGAAGCCUACUAUAUGACAUAGGAACCUGAUCCAUGUGCCUCUCUGGCUUCUUUGUCUUUCUCUAACCCUGAUGAGCAUAACCCCCUUGCUGAUUGGGAUAUUGAUUAUGCAUAGGGUUGCUCUGCCUGGGUCAGGGAACAGGAAAUGAUUGUUGACAUGGAGCCUCUGAAGAUCCGGGUUGUGGAUAGAAUCCAUGAGGUAACUCUUGGUGUGGAUCAGAAUCAGGCGCAUUCACAUGAGGGAUCACCUUUGGCACAACAACUGGCCUAUGAUAGUUCAGUAGUACAUUCAUGAGAUCCAAAGCACGGGCGGACUGAGUCUUCAGAUCGCUGAGUUCCAAGCACAAAGCUUCAUGACUUUCCAGCAACUCGUCCAUGGUAACUCGAGACAUACUUCUGGCUUGAACAAAUGUCGGGUAGUCAGCUUGAUUGUAGAGGGUUCUGGACAAAGGCUAAACAACAGUGAGCUUUCUUAAGUAGGUCUAAUGAAAUGCAAUUAUGCAUGAAUGCAACAUGUUUUAUGUUCCCAAAGGAAUGCAUAUGCUGAAUGAUGUGAUGAAAUGGCAUGCAACAUCAUCGAUCAAGGGUUCACAACAUCUUGGAUGAUCUGAUUGUGAAGCUCAAGGUAGGUUGAAGGUUUAUUUCCCUGCAAGAAAGCACUAUAUCCCCUCACAAGGUGAGUACUAAGACUUAUGAAGAUGCUUAGAUUCAUGGAUCAUGAGGCGAAAGUAUCGUCGUCGCCACAAGAUGACUUGUGACUUAACAAUACCCUCAGGAUGAUCUCCUCUAAGUGAGGUUUCCCUCAACUUCGAAAGACACGGGUUGUCUAAGGUCCUUGGAGUCACGGACUCCCUUUGGAAGAAUGAAUAUCAGCGCGAAUGUGACUCACAUGCCAACAAAACUCCAAAAAGAAUCUAUUCCAAAUGGGAUAUUCGUGUCUCCCUCGCAAGACAACUACGUCCGAUAGGCCAACACGAAGUCCCUCUUAUCUUAUGUAUACUCUCUAAGCCGGUGUAUUGGGCUUCUCCCUCUAUACUACUUAUCCCACAAGAUCAGAGCAAGAUAAUGUAUAACAAGAAUAUAUAACAGGCAUGGAUAAAUAAAGCAAUAAAUAACAUAAGUAUACAAUCCAAGAAAAGUAUACAAGAAAGCUAGGCUUGACUCGCUUAUGGGAACUCCAUAUCGUCCCCAUCAGAGUCACCAGCUGAAGCGCCGCAAAAAAUACAGAGUCGCCACCGGAUUUUAUUUAUUCCAAAGGAAAGGGAAUAUAGCAAUAAAACCCCAAAUGAGAGAAAUGGUCUCGCAACCAAGAGCGUAUUCGAAAGUCGGUUAUGCAAGGGGAAGGUAUUAACACCCCUCACAUCCAUGGUACUCCAUGGGAACGACUUGCUCGUAUCAAAUGCGCAUGGAUGUUUAUUUAUCUAUAAAUUGCUUGCUAUUAGGAAUGAGAUGAUAGAAUAAGGUGGGAGAGAAAAUAAGUUUUAAGUAAGUAUGCUCGCCAAGGAUUUUGGCCCUCGCGCCUACGUAUCCCCAUACGUGCAAUAGGGAAGUCAGAGCUGUAUAGUUCGGCUAAAAAAUUGCGCAUUUGUUUAGUUAUUUAUACUGAACAGUAUUGACGUUCACGUGCUACUGUUCACUUGCUUGUAUACUCUGUCAUGGAAGCAGAAAGUAUUUGCUUGUUUGCGAUAAAGUGGAUAUGCUUGGUUCGCACUCUAGCAGUUAAACAUUACUUGCUCGCAAAUGGAGGCUUAAGCUUCGUUCACGGUAGAACAGAAGUAACACGUUCUUAUUGAAAGGUUUUGAGUAGAGUGCACUAAGGAAAAAGAUGGUUUGAUUUGUUGGGGUCGAUUUUAUGCAUGGAGACAAGCAUUAGACCCUUGACUAGAUACAGUCAACGGUCCAAUAACUCGGGAGUUGAGAGGAUAAGUUAUCCUAACCACUCUUUUUCAUCCAAAAGAGAUUUGGUUAUGAAAGGAUUUGGCAAGUUUAAUCAUUGGAACUUAGAGGGUGACACGUAUUCCACCCUUGACUAAGUACGGUCAAUGAUCAAAGUACUUGGGAAUCGAGAGAACAACGAAGUCCUAACUAUUCUUUUUCAUCCUCAUAGCACCUAGAUCUAACUUGUUUGAAUCAUUAGAUGUUUUAAGGGGGAAAGUCAAGUGUCGGGUCCUCGGGCUAGGUACGGUCGACAACCCAAUUACUUGAAUGUUAUGUAUAAACACGUACACCCCAUUUGCAUUCCAAUUUGUUAUGAAAAUGGUUUUGAAAAAGGUACUUGACAUUGAAUCAAGCGUUUUAAUUUGUUAUGAAAAUAGUGAGUGAAGGAAUGGAGGUGAGAGAUAGAAUGAGAUCGAGAAUAGAAUGGAUAAGAGGUGUGAAUAAUGGAUCUUGGAGUGGAUGGAGAAUACUUGACAUUGGAUCAAGUAUUCGCGUUGCAAUGGCAUGAGUUUUAUUCGGAAAACAACUUUACGUUGAAUCAAGUACCUUUUGUUUCUUUUGAAAUGCUUUGCUUAUCGUUUUAUAUUUUAUCUUGUUUUGAUUAUCAUGCAUAGUGGACUAUCUAGAAAAUAAUAAAUCUAAGCUAUUACAUGAGUAGGGGGAGGGGAACAUUUAACCCAUAAUGGGGGGAUGGAUCCACACAAUACAAUGGAAAGGGAAUGAAAGAAAAAUACAAGUUAUAAACUACUAAACUAUGUAUCAUGCCUAAUGCAUACAAGUGACAUGGUACUUCAAACAAUACAAAGCUAUUGAAUAAAACGAAAUGGUUAGGAGCAUGGUUAGCUAGGAGUGAGCUUGCUUGUCCAAGUCAUAUGUGACAACACAAGACAACAAACGAGUUAGCAUGAGAUAAAGUCGAAUGAAUGAGAAUGAUGUAAGUACAUACAAUGGUUAGAAUCGAUUCAAAAGGUAAUGGAUUAAUCAAUGAAAAAUAAUCAAGGAUCUAUCCUAUGAUCAUGGAAAAUGAAACUGGACAUACAAAGUAUUCAUCACCUAAAUUAAAAUGGGAUUUUCAAUUUAAUCAAAAUGAUCAUAAACUAAAGAAACGAUUAAAUGGACAAUUAAAGUGACUAUUAAUUCUAAAAAUUAAAAUCUACCAAAACAUGCAUUAGGAAGCAAAUUAAUCAAAGGGAAAAUUACCAAUCUGUAUUCAAGAAUAGAAUUCUAAUCUACAUGAUUAUACAAAUCACCACACAAUAGUCUAAUCGCAUGAAAAUUCAACCUAAGGUCCAAUCAUGAUAAAAUCCAUAUGAACCAUAUUAAUCUCAACAAAAAUCCGCAAAAUGAAAUAACCAAAAUCUAAAGACUAAACUCUAAUCAUGGCAUGGUAAUCAAUCAUGAAUUAAUUAUGGAAAAUUAAGAACUAAUUCUAAUCAAAAGAAUUGACUAAACCUAAUUAACUUCUAAUUACCUAAUCAAAUCUAAUUAAGAGUUAAGCUAAUCAUCACUAAAAUUGUGCUAAAUCCUAAUAUUUCUAAAAAGGGGAAUAAUCCUAAUUCUACAAGAUCAACAAUUAGCACCAACAUUAACAAAAAAAAACAUGCAUUAGAAACAAAUGAACUAAAAGAUUAAACCAAUAAUUAAUGGGGUGAUUAGAGAGAUUAUGGCCAUGGGGAUGUACGUUGGAUUCAGGGGGUGUGAACCAAGAAACAAAAACUUGCUUGGCCCAAAGGCCCAAGUCUUCCAAAAAUACCAGUUCAGUAACAAACCAACAGCCACACCACCAACAUCCAACAUGGGGCGGUGAAAUCCUCGAAGAACAUGUGAGAAUCGUAGCUGAAGUAUGACGAAGUGGAUCACGCAUAUCCCUAUGCCCUCAUCGCCAACACGCCGUCCACGAGGAUUGGAGGUUCUCACUGUACCGACUCGUUUUCAGGUUCCGCGACGGACCAAAACCGAUGAACAUGAAUUCGAUUGCACGCCUAAUCGAAACAAAUAGAGAAGGAGAAGCCUACCUGGCUUAUUGAGGGUUCCAGGAGACUCGAUUCUCGUUCUUCCCUUCUUCUGUUUCCUUAUGUUGCAAAGUUGUUGCGAUUCGUUUGCAUAUUACUACUGAAUUGAAGCGAAGAUGAUGAAUCAUUGUUGAUACGUGGCAUUGCCGAUUGGAAUGAUUAAAAUUCCCUGGUAUGCUUUCGUUUCUCCUUCUCUUUCUUCUUCUGUGUUUGAUUUUCCUUCCUUGAUUCUGUUUUCGACUUCUUCUUCUCCUUUUCUGAUUCUGUUUUCUUCUUUUUCUUUUGGUUAUGCCGUUUUUGAAAAUUUCUGGUGUUAUGGUUGUCGUGAGGGUUAUGAUUGGUGGCGGUUGAGAGUUACGCGAAGUCUCGUUUUUCUGCCGGGAAGUCUUAUCGCAGUGAUUGGAAAAUGAGAGGUUCGGUUGGAGUGAAAGGUUGAAGAAGUUAUUGUUAAGAGGGAGUGGAGAGUGUUAAGAGGAUGAAGUUGUUGUGAGUUAGAAGAAGUGGAGUUUCAGGGUGAACAAGGUUCUGUUAGGGAGAAGGAGGUUAUGGAGAAUGGAGAAUGGAGUUAGUUGUGUUCUGUUAUAGGUUGGUUAGAGGUUGAGAAAACAGUUGCAGGGUUGGUUAUCCCUGUUCUAUCUGUUAGCAACUCGGUUCAAAUUCUGUUAUUUGUUAGAGGCCUUUUAUGGUUGAAGGUGGAAAAAAAAAAGACCCUUUUAAUCGUGAAGGUAUGAAAUUAUAUAUUUUUCAGAUCUCCUUUCUUUUCAUUCUUCUGUUAUGAAUCUUCCUAUUUUGGUUUUGAAGGUUUUAUGAGAGUUCGAAAUCAGUUGGGAAUUCGGUUACGGCUUGGGAGUUUGUUAUUGAGGGAGGUUCCAGAAGCUGCGGUCCUGAAUUGUUGGCUGGAAUUCGGUUGGAAUAGUCAUGUCGAUUCCAUUUAUUGACUUGAAUUGAUUUGGUUGUUAGAGUUAUUUUCCAUUUAUUGACUUGAAUUGAUUUGGUUGUUAGAGUUAUUCUCCGACUACUAUGGCCAAAGUUGUAUACUCGUUUCAAGAACCAUGUAAACAACACUUCGAGUCAACCCAAAGCAGCAAGGUCAAAGUUAGAGAGAACACUCUUCUUCUUGAUUUUCUUGGAUGACAUGAAGAAGAAUAGAAAGAAGGUAUGGGCGAGUGUGUUAAUUAAGUUAUUAAUGAGACUAACUUGGAAAUCAGUGUGCUGUUUCGGAGACAUUCUGAUGUGAUUCCGGCUUUUUAUGCAGGUUAGCAGCAUUGUUGCAGCAAUUCAGAGCUUAUUAGGUUUUCUAUCCACUUUUCUGAAUUGGCUUUGUUAAAACUCUCCUAGGAUGAAAAUAGUUUGAAUCUUGAUUGAAUGUGGUUGAGUUUUACUGUUGGCUCGUUGUAUGACGGUCUGCUGUUGAUGAUUUGCUAUGCAUAUUGUUUAGGAUAUUUGUAACUUCCAUGGGUUGACAUAAGGCUAGCUUCAUGUGAUUGGCUUAUUUGGUGCAGGGUUGGACCAAGGCUUGGAGUUUUAUCGUGGAGCUAUGGCUUGUGCACUUCGUGCAGGUCUCGGUUCACAUUGGCUUUUGUUAGUUUCGCAUAUGCAUUGCAGCGACAGUUUUAAUGCCAUUUCGGAAUAGGUUGGGUUGAAGUUCGUUGGACAAUUGGCUUCUUUCUUGAAGGUUCUCUAUGAAGGUUGGUUGUUUUUUUGUGUGUUAAAUCAUUUUGUGUAGUAUUCUUUGAGUGGGCAUUGUAAUGUAUAUUGCUUUCAACAUUUUCUAAUCCCAGCUCUGCAGGAUUCAUAAGCUACUCCCAACCAUCAAGUGAAGAACAUGUCCGGAAAGGAUGAUCAAUGAGUUGUUGCAAGGCCUUACGACGUGCUCUUUUAAUUUAUCAACGGAAUGACCAAGUUCUUUGAAUUUCUUACUAGGCACUUCAUCCGACAUUGGCUCAAAAUUGGCAAAAGCAUCAACGAUUGGCUUCAAUAACUUAAGUAUCUCUUAUGCCUUAUGAUAGCUGCGAAAUAGAGGAUAUGUUGUCAACAAGAAUUUUCAAACAACGAUAUCUUCACAACACUUUGUAAGUCUUGAAGAUUCUACAGCUAGCUUCUCAAAGAUGUCGUUGACGACACUGUUUAUGAUACCCAUGGCCUUGCUUAUUGCAUGAUAGUUAGCAAAUGUGAUUGUUGGAAAUUAGGAAGAUUUAAUUUAGUGAAUAUGAUGAGAUGGUCAUGUGAUAACAAGACUAUUAGUUAUGUAAUAUGAAUGUAAUGGGUAAUGUGAACGUAAUGCGUAAUGUGAAUGAUAAAAUGGUUAUGUAAUAAAAGAUGAAUUACUCCAGGUUUGUUUGUGAUAACAUAUAAGUGUAUGAAUGAUUCUCAUGU